GCGGGCGUGGCGAAACGGUAGACGCAGCGGACUCAAAAUCCGCCGUAGCAAUACGUGUCGGUUCGAAUCCGACCGCCCGCACCA
rnacentral:tRNA from 4 species